rnacentral:rRNA from 1 species
AAAAAAUUGCAAAAAUGUGACACGUUGUGUGAAUUGCAGAAUGUGUGAACUAUUGAGUUUUUGAACGCAAGUUGCGCCCAAAUCCAUUUAGUUGAGGGAUCGUCUGCCUG